AGUAGAAUGGCUGAGUUUAAGCGAUAAAUUGUAAAUUUAUUUACGGAAAAAUACCUUCUACU
rnacentral:tRNA from 1 species